AUCAUUCUGACAGGUGUGAGAUGAUACCUCAUUGUGGUUUUGAUUUGUAUUUCCCUGAUGAUGAGGGAUGUGGAGCAUCUUUUCAUGUGUCUGUUAGCCAACUGGAUGUCUCCUUUAGAAAAGUGUCGGUUCAUGUCUUUUGCCCAUUUCUUCACUGG